rnacentral:rRNA from 1 species
UUAGAGUUUGAUCCUGGCUCAGAUUGAACGCUGGCGGCAUGCCUUACACAUGCAAGUCGAACGCGAAAGGGGGGCAACUCCUGAGUAGAGUGGCGAACGGGUGAGUAAUGCAUCGGAACGUGCCCGGUAGUGGGGGAUAACCUCUCGAAAGAGAGGCUAAUACCGCAUACGACCUGAGGGUGAAAGCGGGGGACCGGUAACGGCCUCGCGCUAUUGGAGCGGCCGAUGUCCGAUUAGCUAGUUGGUGGGGUAACGGCCCACCAAGGCUGCGAUCGGUAGCUGGUCUGAGAGGACGACCAGCCACACUGGAACUGAGACACGGUCCAGACUCCUACGGGAGGCAGCAGUGGGGAAUUUUGGACAAUGGGGGCAACCCUGAUCCAGCCAUGCCGCGUGGGUGAAGAAGGCCUUCGGGUUGUAAAGCCCUUUCGGCGGGGACGAAAUCGUGCGGGUUAACAGCCACGCGCGGAUGACGGUACCCGCAGAAGAAGCACCGGCUAACUACGUGCCAGCAGCCGCGGUAAUACGUAGGGUGCAGGCGUUAAUCGGAAUUACUGGGCGUAAAGCGUGCGCAGGCGGUCUCUUAAGACAGGUGUGAAAUCCCCGGGCUUAACCUGGGAACUGCGCUUGUAACUGGGAGGCUGGAGUGUGGCAGAGGGGGGUGGAAUUCCACGUGUAGCAGUUGAAAUGCGUAAGAUGUGGAGGAACAACCGAUGGCAAGGCAGCCCCCUGGGCUAACACUGACGCUCAUGCACGAAAGCGUGGGGAGCAAACAGGGAUUAAAUACCCUGGUAGUUCCAACGCCCCUAAACAGAUGUCGACUGGUUUGUCGGGAAGCAAUUCCUUGGUAACGAAGUAACGCGUGAAUCGACCGCCUGGGGAGUACGGCCGCAAGGUUAAAACUCAAAGGAAUUGACGGGGACCCGCACAAGCGGUGGAUUAUGUGGAUUAAUUCGAUGCAACGCGAAAAACCUACCUACCCUUGACAUGUACGGAAUCCCCCGGAGACGGGGGAGUGCCCGAAAGGGAGCCGUAACACAGGUGCUGCAUGGCUGUCGUCAGCUCGUGUCGUGAGAUGUUGGGUUAAGUCCCGCAACGAGCGCAACCCUUGCCAUUAGUUGCUACAUUUAAGUUGAGCACUCCAAUGGGACUGCCGGUGACAAACCGGAGGAAGGUGGGGAUGACGUCAAGUCCUCAUGGCCCUUAUGGGUAGGGCUUCACACGUAAUACAAUGGCCGGUACAGAGGGCAGCCAACCCGCGAGGGGGAGCUAAUCCCAGAAAGCCGGUCGUAGUCCGGAUUGCAGUCUGCAACUCGACUGCAUGAAGCCGGAAUCGCUAGUAAUCGCGGAUCAGCAUGUCGCGGUGAAUACGUUCCCGGGUCUUGUACACACCGCCCGUCACACCAUGGGAGUGGGUUUCACCAGGAGUAGUUAGCCUAACCGCAAGGAGGGCGACUACCACGGUGAGAUUCAUGACUGGGGUGAAGUCGUAACAAGGUAGCCGUAUCGGAAGGUGCGGCUGGAUCACCUCCU